GGUCAAGUAAUGAAGUGCACAUGGUGGAUGCCUUGGCAGUCAGAGGCGAUGAAAGACGUGAUAGCCUGCGAUAAGCGUCGGUGAGGUGGCAAUAUCCUGUGACCCGGCGAUUUCUGAAUGGGGAAACCCAACCAACAUAAGUUGGUUAUUACACAGUUUACUGUGUAAGGCAAACCGGGAGAAGUGAAACAUCUCAGUACCCCGAGGAAAAGACAUCAAAUGAGAUUCCGUAAGUAGCGGCGAGCGAACACGGAGGAGCCGAUCAAUUUUACAGUAGCAAAAUGGCGUGGGAAAGCCAACCAUAGUAGGUGAUAGUCCUGUAUGCGAAACUGUUUAAGCGACAUAUUAAGUAGGGCGGAACACGAGAAAUUCUGUCUGAAGAUGGGGGGACCAUCCUCCAAGGCUAAAUACUCCUGACUGACCGAUAGUGAACCAGUACCGUGAGGGAAAGGCGAAAAGAACCCCUGUUAGGGGAGUGAAAUAGAACCUGAAACCGUGUGCAUACAAGCAGUCGGAGCGGACUUGUUCCGUGACGGCGUACCUUUUGUAUAAUGGGUCAGCGACUUAUAUUCUGUAGCAAGGUUAACCGAAUAGGGGAGCCGUAGGGAAACCGAGUCUUAAUAGGGCGAAUGAGUUGCAGGGUAUAGACCCGAAACCGAGUGAUCUAUCCAUGAGCAGGUUGAAAGUGCCGUAACAGGCACCGGAGGACCGAACCCACUGUCGUUGAAAAGCCAGGGGAUGACUUGUGGAUAGGGGUGAAAGGCUAAUCAAACUCGGUGAUAGCUGGUUCUCCCCGAAAGCUAUUUAGGUAGCGCCUCGGACGAACACCAUUGGGGGUAGAGCACUGUUUCGGCUAGGGGGUCACACCGACUUACCAAACCGAUGCAAACUCCGAAUACCGAUGAGUGAUAUCCGGGAGACAGACGGCGGGUGCUAACGUCCGUCGUCAAGAGGGAAACAACCCAGACCGCCAGCUAAGGCCCCAAAUUCCUAGUUAAGUGGGAAACGAUGUGGGAAGGCACAGACAGCUAGGAGGUUGGCUUAGAAGCAGCCACCCUUUAAAGAAAGCGUAAUAGCUCACUAGUCGAGUCGGCCUGCGCGGAAGAUGUAACGGGGCUCAAACUAGGAGCCGAAGCUGCGGAUUUAAUUGUUUCAAUUAAGUGGUAGGGGAGCGUUGUGUAAGCCUGUGAAGGUGCACUGUAAGGUGUGCUGGAGGUAUCACAAGAGCGAAUGCUGACGUGAGUAACGACAAAACGGGUGAAAAGCCCGUUCGCCGGAAGACCAAGGGUUCCAGUCCAACGUUAAUCGGGGCUGGGUGAGUCGACCCCUAAGGCGAGGCCGAAAGGCGUAGUCGAUGGGAAAUCGGUUAAUAUUCCGAUACUUGUUUAUGAUGCGAUGGAGGGACGGAGAAGGUUAUGCCAGCCUGGCGAUGGUUGUCCAGGUGGAAGGAUGUAGUUAGACUGAGUAGGCAAAUCCGCUCGGUUAUUAAUGAGAUCUGAUAGCAAGCCAGUUUACUGGCGAAGUGGCAAAUACCCUGCUUCCAGGAAAAGCUUCUAAGCGAUAGUCAUAAACGAAUCGUACCCGAAACCGACACAGGUGGUCAGGUAGAGAAUACCAAGGCGCUUGAGAGAACUCUGCUGAAGGAACUAGGCAAAAUGGUACCGUAACUUCGGGAGAAGGUACGCUGCCGAUGGUGAUAAGACUUGCUCUUUGAGCUGUUGGCAGUCGCAGAUACCAGGCUGCUGCAACUGUUUAUUAAAAACACAGCACUCUGCAAACACGAAAGUGGACGUAUAGGGUGUGAUGCCUGCCCGGUGCUGGAAGGUUAAUUGAUGGGGUUAGCGUAAGCGAAGCUCUUGAUCGAAGCCCCAGUAAACGGCGGCCGUAACUAUAACGGUCCUAAGGUAGCGAAAUUCCUUGUCGGGUAAGUUCCGACCUGCACGAAUGGCAUAAUGAUGGCAGCGCUGUCUCCAGCAGAGACUCAGUGAAAUCGAAAUCGCAGUGAAGAUGCUGUGUACCCGCGGCUAGACGGAAAGACCCCGUGAACCUUUACUACAGCUUUACAUUGAACUUUGACCUAACUUGUGUAGGAUAGGUGGGAGGCUUUGAAGCAGAUACGCCAGUAUUUGUGGAGCCAACCUUGAAAUACCACCCUGGUUAUGUUGGGGUUCUAACUUAGGAUUAACAAAUCCAAGGACAAUGUAUGGUGGGUAGUUUGACUGGGGCGGUCUCCUCCUAAAGAGUAACGGAGGAGUACGAAGGUGCGCUCAGAACGGUCGGAAAUCGUUCAAAGAGUAUAAAGGCAAAAGCGCGCUUAACUGCGAGACCCACAAGUCGAGCAGGUACGAAAGUAGGUCUUAGUGAUCCGGUGGUUCUGUAUGGAAGGGCCAUCGCUCAACGGAUAAAAGGUACUCUGGGGAUAACAGGCUGAUACCGCCCAAGAGUUCAUAUCGACGGCGGUGUUUGGCACCUCGAUGUCGGCUCAUCUCAUCCUGGGGCUGAAGCAGGUCCCAAGGGUAUGGCUGUUCGCCAUUUAAAGAGGUACGCGAGCUGGGUUUAGAACGUCGUGAGACAGUUCGGUCCCUAUCUACCGUGGGCGUUGGAAAUUUGAGAGGAUCUGCUCCUAGUACGAGAGGACCAGAGUGGACGAACCUCUGGUGUUUCGGUUGUCACGCCAGUGGCAUUGCCGAGUAGCUACGUUCGGAUGGGAUAACCGCUGAAAGCAUCUAAGCGGGAAGCCCACCUCAAGAUGAGAUUUCCCUAAAGAGCCGUUGUAGACUACGACGUUGAUAGGUUGGGUGUGGAAGUGUAGUGAUACAUGUAGCUAACCAAUACUAAUUGCUCGUUUGGCUUGACCAU
rnacentral:rRNA from 1 species